rnacentral:rRNA from 1 species
CCUACGGGAGGCUGCAGUGAGGAAUAUUGGUCAAUGGGCGCGAGCCUGAACCAGCCAAGUAGCGUGAAGGAUGACUGCCCUACGGGUUGUAAACUUCUUUUAUAAAGGAAUAAAGUGAGGCACGUGUGCCUUUUUGUAUGUACUUUAUGAAUAAGGAUCGGCUAACUCCGUGCCAGCAGCCGCGGUAAUCCGGAGGAGCCGAGCGUUAUUCGGAUUUAUGGGGUUUAAAGGGAGCGUAGAUGGGUUGUUAAGGACGUUGUGAAAGUUGGCGGCUCAACCGUAAAAUUGCAAUUGAUACUGCAUUGCUGGAAGGCGGAAGCGGUGGGAGGAAUGUGUGGUGUAGGGGUGAAAUGCAUAGAUAUCAGACAGAACACCGAUUGCGAAGGCAUCUCACGAAUCCGCGAUUGACGCUGAUGCACGAAAGCGUGGGUAUCAAACAGGAUUAGAUACCCGAGUAGUC